AGGUGCUGACGCUGUCCAAGCUCUUCCGAUGGAGCGAUCCCUUCCUCGGCCGGUUCUUACGCGUGAGCGACGAUGGCUAGGUGGCUAGGGCACGGUGGAGGGCUUGGUUUUGGUUGUUUCCGACCGAUUGACCCUUCGUUUCCUCCUUCUUGAGCUGUUCACAUAACGAUCCGUGGCUCCUCAAAGUGGAUCGGAUUGGGCGAUACCUUCUGGAGACAACCGAUUGAGGGAGGUGUUCUUGAGCUGCCGGGAAGAGGCUAGAAGGAUGGUUAAUUGAUCAGUGAUCUCCCUGCUUGACCUCCUGUUGUGAUCCGAUUGAUUCCAAUGAGGUUGAGUGCUGUGGAUCAACAAGCACGACUGUGAGUGUUUGGUCUUGCAUUGUGAUGGCGUCUGAGUGUUGGCUUGGUCUCUGUUGGCUUGCUACAUAUCUAGAAAGCUCCAUGAUUUGUGCUAUGGUAGUUCUUCUCAACGAGCAUAUCUGAGAUGGAACUUCCAUGCUACUUGCUUUUCCGAGUUUGAUUUGCUGCUACAAGAUCGGAAAGAUAUUAUCUGAAGCGUAUCCAAUUUGGAUUUUCCAGCUCAAAAUAUCAGUAGAUUUGUUGUGGUAGUGCCUUAACAGGAUUUGAGACUUCUCCAUUCAGGAAAAGACAAGUCCGGUAGAUACAAAAAUUACAAGAUUGCAAGUUUGGAUUGAAGGUCAUAAGAAAAAAAAUGGGGAGCCUAGUACUCAAGCUGUUGGAGAGAAAAUAGUGGACCUAAUUCGACCAAAUG